UAGAGUUUGAUCAUGGCUCAGAACAAACGCUGGCGGCAUGCUUUACACAUGCAAGUCGAACGGUAACAGGGAGCUUGCUCCGCUGACGAGUGGCGAACGGGUGAGUAAUACAUCGGAACGUGCCCAGUCAUGGGGGAUAACUACGCGAAAGCGUAGCUAAUACCGCAUACGCCCUGAGGGGGAAAGUGGGGGAUCUUCGGACCUCACGUGAUUGGAGCGGCCGAUGUCAGAUUAGCUAGUUGGUGAGGUAAAGGCUCACCAAGGCGACGAUCUGUAGCGGGUCUGAGAGGAUGAUCCGCCACACUGGGACUGAGACACGGCCCAGACUCCUACGGGAGGCAGCAGUGGGGAAUUUUGGACAAUGGGCGCAAGCCUGAUCCAGCCAUGCCGCGUGAGUGAAGAAGGCCUUCGGGUUGUAAAGCUCUUUCGCAAGGGAAGAAAACGUGUGGGCUAAUAUCCUGCGCGGAUGACGGUACCUUGACAAGAAGCACCGGCUAACUACGUGCCAGCAGCCGCGGUAAU
rnacentral:rRNA from 1 species